CAUUCACUGACAGUCCUUCGGACUGUGAAAGCUUUUUCAUGACAAGGCAGCAGGGGGAGACUCCAAUGCCAGUUUUCUUCCCUCACAGCUGUGAGUGUGUAUAUUAAUCCUCAGAAUUGUGGUCAUUGAGGAUAUCUCUAAGAGAUUGAGAGUUGAUGCUCAUGUUAUUACAACUUUCAGCAAUGGAUCUCUUGGUUCUCGCAUCGAUGAAGAACGCAGUGAAAUGCGAUAACUGGUGUGAAUUGCAUCCUUGUAACUCUAAUUUACGAAUAACACCAAGUGAAUCAUCGAGUCUUUGAACGCAAUUGCGCCCUCUCGGUCGCUUCCAAUUGGGGGUUGACUCAUAGGGGGUACAUCUGUUCGAGGGUCAUUUGAAUCUCUCAAAGGGUCGGCUAAUCCGUCCUUUGGACAUUGGGCCUUGCUGGUAUCUCUCAGCUUGCCUGGAAAGCAUUAGCAAGUGUUUUUGAUCAGAACAUUGAUCAGGUCUUUUAAGUGAAGAGGUUGAUGGCAUUGUGAAGCCUCCCUCAUUAGUCCUGGGUCUUGAUUAAAACUUGCUUCUAAUCAUCUGAUGGCUAAAUCAAUGACCUCGAAUCAGAUGAGACUACCCGCUGAACUUAAGCAUAUCAAUAAGCGGAGGAA
rnacentral:rRNA from 1 species